AUGGCGGCAGUCCGAAGCGCAGCCAUCUCCGCUGCCGCAGUCGUUGCGCCGCGCGGCUUUGGCAGGCGCCGUCGUCUUGUCCCCUGCUUCGCGGCGCCUGCACGAGGCGCAUCAGGAGUCACCGCCUCCGCUUCCGGGAAGAUGCUCCCGCGCUCUGCCCUACAUGCUAGCGCCUCCACCACUGGGGCGCCCGACUCCGACGAGGCCGCUGCGUUCCUUGUGCAGGAAUCUUUGGUGGAGGCGGAGCUGAGCAAACUCGCCUGCCCAAUCUGCUAUUACCCGCUCGUAAGCUCGAUAGAUCAUCAGUCAGCGCCAUCCAAAUCCGAUUCUACCCUUGAAUGUUCUACCUGCAAGAAAUUGUUCUCUAAGGAUGAUUACUGGGAUCUGACUGUGGCAGUUGGUUCUACUGAGUACUCCGAGACCAUGCCUGCUGCAACUGAGCUUUUCAGGACCCAACUGGUAUCAUUUCUUUAUGAGAGAGGAUGGCGCCAAAAUUUCAUAUGGGGUGGUUUUCCAGGCUUAGAGAAAGAGUUUGAGAUGGCUAAGGAUUAUUUGAAGCCAAAAAGUGGAGGGAUUAUAAUUGAUGCAAGCUGUGGAAGUGGGUUAUUUUCAAGAUUAUUUGUUAAAAGCGAACUAUAUUGCCUUGUUGUGGCACUAGAUUUCUCAGAGAAUAUGUUGAAGCAAUGCAAGGAAUUCAUCAAGCAGGAAAACAUUUCAGACGAACGCUUAGUAUUGGUGAGAGCUGAUAUAUCUAGGCUUCCUUUUGUGAGUGGCUCAAUUGAUGCUCUGCAUGCAGGUGCUGCAAUUCAUUGUUGGCCAUCCCCAGCUUGUGCUGUUGCAGAAAUCAGUCGAGUCCUUCGCCCUGGGGGUGUUUUUGUUGGUUCUACUUUCAUAGCAGAUGUUCUUCCACCAGUAAUCCCAUUACUGAGGAUUGGACGCCCGUACAUUGAUCAAAUCACAGGCAAUAAUACCUUCUUAUCAGAGCUGGAGCUUGAAGAUCUUUGUAGUGCAUGUGGGCUGGUUAAUUUUACAUUUGUCAGAAAUGGAUUCUAUAUAAUGUUCUCUGCUACUAAAGCAAGCUAG
rnacentral:rRNA from 1 species